rnacentral:rRNA from 1 species
GUCGAACGGGGCCACCAUUUUUGAAGCGAUUAGCUUGCUAAGAGUGGACAUGUUGGCGGCUUAGUGGCGGACGGGUGAGUAACGCGUGGGUAACCUGCCAUAUACAGGGGGAUAACACUUAGAAAUAGGUGCUAAUACCGCAUAAGCGCACGGAGCUGCAUGGCUCAGUGUGAAAAACUCCGGUGGUAUAUGAUGGACCCGCGUCUGAUUAGCUUGUUGGCGGGGUAACGGCCCACCAAGGCGACGAUCAGUAGCCGGCCUGAGAGGGUGGACGGCCACAUUGGGACUGAGACACGGCCCAAACUCCUACGGGAGGCAGCAGUGGGGAAUAUUGGACAAUGGGGGGAACCCUGAUCCAGCGACGCCGCGUGAGUGAAGAAGUAUUUCGGUAUGUAAAGCUCUAUCAGCAGGGAAGAAAGAAAUGACGGUACCUGACCAAGAAGCCCCGGCUAACUACGUGCCAGCAGCCGCGGUAAUACGUAGGGGGCAAGCGUUAUCCGGAUUUACUGGGUGUAAAGGGAGCGUAGACGGUAAUGCAAGUCUGGAGUGAAAUGCAGGGGCUCAACCCCUGAACUGCUUUGGAAACUGUAUGACUGGAGUGCAGGAGAGGUAAGUGGAAUUCCUAGUGUAGCGGUGAAAUGCGUAGAUAUUAGGAGGAACACCAGUGGCGAAGGCGGCUUACUGGACUGUAACUGACGUUGAGGCUCGAAAGCGUGGGGAGCAAACAGGAUUAGAUACCCUGGUAGUCCACGCCGUAAACGAUGAUCACUAGGUGUCGGUGGGUAUGGACCCAUCGGUG